UCCAGUUCGUGGUAUCGCCUAUUCGGAAAGGAAUAAUUAAAAAAUAAAAUUAUUUUACUAAUAUUUAAUUGAGAUUUGAAUUGAUGUUAAGUUCAUGUCUUCACGGGAAUGCGGAUUUUAGAGUAGAAUUCUCGUCUGCCUAUGGAUGUCCAAAUGCAGCAACUCAUACUGAUAAAACAUGAGCCGAUUUACGAUAUAUCGAAAUUUUAUAGGAGAUAUUAAUUUCGGAUGGAACGUAUGGAUUGGGCCCAUGUGCGGGCUUAGCAUCGAAUAAAUCUUUUGGGUGGGAGCCUCGGGAAGAGCUUUUCAGUAUGAACUCUCAGAUGGGUCUCCUUCUUUCAGUAGGCUAUAUCAUCGAGGGAAGGAUCAUCGAGGAAAAGAGCAUCGGGUGGAACUCUUAAAAUGGGCCUUUGGGAGGGGCCUUAGGCGGAUUUCCUUUUUUCAUAAUCAUCAAGGGAUCAUCAAUAGAUGUAGAUUCAUUUGCAAUCGAAUGAGUUCGACGUAUUGUCGAAUGGUUCGAUUCACCAUCGAUUUUUACGCGGAAAUACGGGAAGGAUAAGGAAGAACAUGCGCGCAUAUCAGUGGACAUAGGCGGGGAUAUUCGCAGACGCGAUUAAAAGUCUUAUAGGGGACUUCGUUUUAUUUGCUCGAAAAUUUGAUUAGAUUAGCUUGUGAACGCGGAUUUUAAAGUAGAAUCACUGUUAGCUUGUGGGUUUCCACAUGUAGCAAUUUCCACGUAAUGAGACCUGAAUCGGUAAUACUUGCAAUAUAUUGAAAUCUAAUUGUAAAUCACGUAAUGCAAGUACUACUGAAUGAAUAGCUGCAUAUCUCAAUCUAUUUUCAAAAUCCCUUCAAUCUAAUUCUAAUUAAAUAUUAAAAUACUAAUACUUUACAUUGCUAAUAAUAUUUCUACAGGCAAAUAGAUAAGAUAUAAUUAAAUUCAAAAAUAAUUUCUUUAAAUUCGCAAAUUUAUGUACUAAUUAUCAUAUGUAUUAAUCCUUUGUACUCCGUGCAAAUUUUUAAUAUGAUGUUUCAGUAAUUCUUAGUCAUUUUUAUUGUGAACUAUCAGCUAUUCCAGAAAUAUUUAGUCACAUUAAUUACUACAUAAAACGUUUUUUCAUGAAAAAUAUCGAAAACAUCAAGGCGUAAUUGUUGAACGAUUUAGAUAAACAAAGUCACAUUUUAAAGAUGAAGGUUUAAGACAAGAAUUUAUAUUUUAUUAUGCAUAUUUUUGUGCAUAAACAUUUUCGAAAAAAAUACCAUUUUUAAGCACGAUCUUUUUCAAAGAAAAUAAAGCUUCUUCAAAAUUACGAAAAAGCUAUGUCUUCACUUGACCAUUUAUUUUUAAUAUGAGAGUUUGUUCAUCAAAAUUAUUCAAAAAUUAUGUCUGUACUAAUUAUUGACGUAAAUUAUUGUAAAACCAGAGAUGAUGUAAAGCUCGAUUAUAAUAUUUCGAAAUUCAUAUAAGCAUUAUUUUUAUUUUGAAUAAAUUUGUGGAGUUAUAAUAGACGGUACGAUUUUAUAAUGAUCAAAGAAUAUUAUUUUAUUUCUCUUUUUGUAACAUUCGCUUUUUUACUUAUCUACUAUACACACAUACAUACAUACAUAUAUAUAAUCCUAAAAAUAAUUAGCAUUUUAUCAUUAUCAGUCCAAAACAAAUUACUAUCACCGUAUAAGGUACGAACAGUUUACAGAAUAUUACGAUUACAGAGCAUCAUAUUCGCAUUUAUCAUUCCAAUAGCGAUAUAUUUUUUUGUUUAAUAAAUUUGCAGCUUAUAGCAGAAAG